rnacentral:rRNA from 1 species
UACGUAGGGGGCUAGCGUUGUCCGGAAUUAUUGGGCGUAAAGAGCUCGUAGGCGGUGUGUCGCGUCGGCCGUGAAAACCUGCAGCUUAACUGUGGGCGUGCGGGCGAUACGGGGCAGACUGGAGUACUGCAGGGGAGACUGGAAUUCCUGGUGUAGCGGUGGAAUGCGCAGAGAUCCCCAAGAACACCAGUUGCGAAGGCGGCUGACUGGACACAUAUUGACGCUGAGGCUCGGAAAGCAUGGGGAGCAAACAGG